GGCCGGAAAUUUCCCUCCGACUGUACCGGACUUUAUCCUUCCAAACUAGGAGUACAAUUUCUGUGUGAAGUCAGGGUUAGUGGAUGUGAGAAGCAGGUGGGAUUUUAAAUGACCAGUGGGAACCUGGAACAGCGACAUAAGACAGUUGAAUGAAAUCAUUUGAAAUUAAAGAUGUCUACAUCUGUCAGUUCUCUCGUAGCAUUAGCAAUAGCAUAGCAUCUCUGACUCUUUGUCCAUGAUCAUGUUGUAAAAAUCACACUGUGCUGUAAGCAGUGUGCUUUUCAUCUCAUGUCCUGUCUCCAGAGACUCAAAUUCCCUCCUGCCCGGCUUCCAUUCAUGCUGCACGAGAAACAUUGGAAAACUUCAGGGGCAGAGUCCCUGAAAAUUUCAAGAAAAUGUCAGUGUUGCGUGUGUGAAAGAGGCUAGAGAUUGAAGAGGGCAGGCCUGAAGAAACUGUUCCUCUGAGAAAUCUAAAUCCUGUGCUUUUCCAUCCUUCCCCCUCACACUGCCUGCCAUCUGCAAAUUCAACAACCUAAAACUUAGGACCAUGCACACUGUUACUGAUGUCUUCACUGAUCAUUUUACGGUUCAGAUUAAAAAAGUUGUUAUCCUG